rnacentral:misc_RNA from 1 species
AUAAAACUUCCCGUUGCUAAAGAGUAUCACUAUUUUUUUUUGACAUGUAUAAAGAUAAAAAAUUAAGUAAUGAAUUCAGGCCAGUAAAGAUUUUAACAUCACUCUUAUGGAAACCGCUUUUUCCCAUACACCAAAAACCUUAAGAUUGGUGUCCUUAGCAGAGCUGACCAUGAAAUAAGAUGCAAAUGAGACUUCCCCGACAAGCGCAUAUGCUUGGAAACAAAAUAUACCAGCCAUAUAAGCUUUUUCUUUUACAAGUUCAGAGCUGUCUUGCCAAGCCUACGUUUAUCAAUCAGUUUCCAUGUAACUGGCUUGCUGCACUCCAUUCCCCCCAUUCCCCCUUCAUGAUGUUCAUGUUUAAG